rnacentral:rRNA from 1 species
UACGUAGGGUGCGAGCGUUGUCCGGAAUUAUUGGGCGUAAAGAGCGUGUAGGCGGCUCGAUAAGUCUGCUGUGAAAGUCCAGGGCUCAACCCUGGAAGGCCGGUGGAAACUGUCGGGCUAGAGUCCGGAAGAGGCGAGUGGAAUUCCCGGUGUAGCGGUGAAAUGCGCAGAUAUCGGGAGGAACACCAAUGGCGAAGGCAGCUCGCUGGGACGGUACUGACGCUGAGGAGCGAAAGCGUGGGGAGCGAACAGG